rnacentral:rRNA from 1 species
CAGCAGCGCGGUAAUACGUAGGGUGCGAGCGUUAAUCGGAAUUACUGGGCGUAAAGCGUGCGCAGGCGGUUUUGUAAGACAGGCGUGAAAUCCCCGGGCUCAACCUGGGAAUGGCGCUUGUGACUGCAAAGCUAGAGUGCGGCAGAGGGGGAUGGAAUUCCGCGUGUAGCAGUGAAAUGCGUAGAUAUGCGGAGGAACACCGAUGGCGAAGGCAAUCCCCUGGGCCUGCACUGACGCUCAUGCACGAAAGCGUGGGGAGCAAACAGGAUUAGAUACCCCGGUAGUCCCUGUCUCUUAUACC